rnacentral:rRNA from 1 species
GAAACUCAAAGGAAUUGACGGGGAGCACCACAACGGGUGGAGCUUGCGGUUAAUUGGAUUCAACGCCGGAAAUCUUACCGGGACCGACAGCAAUAUGAAGGCCAGGCUGAAGACUUUGCCGGAUUAGCUGAGAGGUGGUGCAUGGCCGUCGUCAGUUCGUACUGUGAAGCAUCCUGUUAAGUCAGGCAACGAGCGAGACCCACGCCCACAGUUGCCAGCGUACUCUCUGGAGUGACGGGUACACUGUGGGGACCGCCGCUGCUAAAGCGGAGGAAGGAAUGGGCAACGGUAGGUCAGUAUGCCCCGAAUUAUCCGGGCUACACGCGGGCUACAAUGGUCAGGACAAUGGGUAUCGACACCGAGAGGUGGAGGCAAUCUCCUAAACCUGUCCUUAGUUCGGAUUGUGGGCUGCAACUCGCCCACAUGAAGCUGGAAUCCGUAGUAAUCGCGUUUCAAAAUAGCGCGGUGAAUAUGUCCCUGCUCCUU